AGUCGUAACAAGGUUUCCGUAGGUGAACCUGCGGAAGGAUCAUUAAUAAUGCUCUCUGGCUUCGGUCAGUUGAGUUCAAUGAGUGCCUUCUCUUCGGAGUUGGCCAUCCAUACACACCGUGAACUGUGGCUUCGGCCAUCACAAACUGUUAGUAAUGAAUGUAAUAUCAUAACAAAAACAAAACUUUUAACAACGGAUCUCUUGGCUCUCGCAUCGAUGAAGAACGCAGCGAAAUGCGAUAAGUAAUGUGAAUUGCAGAAUUCAGUGAAUCAUCGAAUCUUUGAACGCACCUUGCGCCCUUUGGUAUUCCGAAGGGCAUGCCUGUUUGAGUGUCAUGAAACCUCACCCCACUUGGGUUUUUGCCUGAGCGGUGGUGUAUUGGGUGUUGCCUUGCCAAAGGCUCGCCUUAAAAACAUAAGCACCUUGGAUGUAAUACGUUUCAUCCUUCUGGGUGGCUGAUAACCCCACAUAUUCAUGAUCUGGCCUCAAAUCAGGUAGGGCUACCCGCUGAACUUAAGCAUAUCAAUAAGCGGAGGAA
rnacentral:misc_RNA from 1 species